UAAAUAUUUAUUUGUAGGAAAGCUACGGAUGAUAUAUUGUGUAUGCAGUGCUUGAAAAUUCAGCCUGUUGGGCCAGGUUGCUCAAUUUCUUCCUGUGGUGGACUAUCGAUAGCAGAGUAAUAUUGCAGUACUUGCAAAUUUUAAAAUGAUAAAAGAACAAAGAUGUAACUGAUGCAAUUCAGAAGGUUGCUGCUGCUUAUGACUGCAAAAUUGUUGAAUGUGUUUUUCUCCAUCAGCUGAAGCAGUUUGACAGGAACUACCACUUGAAGAUGAAAGCAUCGAGGUUUAUUUUCAGUGAAAUAAAUCAGAAAUUUCCUCCCAUGCCAUUCACAGCUAGGAGAUUAUGUUGCUCACAUCAAAUUCACAGUUUUGCUAAUGCCAAAUGUUUCGAAUAGAGUCACAUCUCAUCCUCUGCAGGAGCUGCAGCCCACAAAGACAACAGAUGAUCCUGAAAGCAAGGCCUUACUAGCCUUGGGCACCAUGAAAAAGAAGAAAGGUAAAAAGGUUGACAAAGCUGAGGAAUCAACAGAAGCCAUGCCUAUGGAUCCAACAACAAAUGGUG